UUGUUGCAGUUAAAAAGCUCGUAGUUGAACCUCGGGGUCUACCCAUUGGUCAGGCUUAAUUGUCUGCACUGGUGAGAUGGAUCUCUACCUUCUGAGGAACUUUCAUGCCAUUUAUUUGGUGUGAUGGGAAAUCAGGACUGUUACUUUGAAAAAAUUAGAGUGUUUAAAGCAGACUAUCGUCUGAAUACAUUAGCAUGGAAUAAUGAAAUAGGACGGACUGAUUCUAUUUCGUUGGUUUCUAGGAUCACCGUAAUGAUUAAUAGGGAUAGUUGGGGGCAUUAGUAUUCAAUUGUCAGAGGUGAAAUUCUUGGAUUUAUUGAAGACUAACUACUGCGAAAGCAUUUGCCAAGGAUGUUUUCAUUAAUCAAGAACGAAAGUUAGGGGAUCGAAGACGAUCAGAUACCGUCGUAGUCUUAACCAUAAACUAUGCCGACUAGGGAUCGGAC
rnacentral:rRNA from 1 species